rnacentral:ncRNA from 1 species
CCGAAGAAACAGGGGUGCUGUGCUUUAAUAUUCAGGGCGCGGCUGAGAGUUACCCUUUAUACCCGAACAAGAUAAUACUUGCGUGGGGAGUUUUCAGCGUAACCGA